GUAUUACAGUUCUAGUUGACACAAAAUUAUGCAAAUAAACUUGAUGACUGGCUUCGGUUCCCAAAGGUGCAACCACAUCACUAGAGGAGUUGGUACUUGUCAAUUAACUGGAGUGUCCACAUCCGGAUACUCUCUUUCCGCCCUUGAUUCAUACAAAGCUAGCUCAAUCUUUGAACUACUAUUCUUCCCCAUUUCAUUUUCUGUCUGUUACCUUUAAUGCUUGUUAAGAGUGUAUGUGAUCAGUCAUGUUUCCGACUGAUCUUCA
rnacentral:misc_RNA from 1 species